CCUGUGAAAGGGUCAUUCAUUCUCAAAGGGGUUACAACCCAGAGGUCGAGAACUGCUGCUGCAGGGCAUCUCUUGGUGUUGCCAUGUCCUAUGAUUAAAGACAAGCGUCAACUACAACUCAACCCAGGAAGAUGACAGAGGGCACAGAUCCUUCAGGAAUGAAGGUGCACUGCGGCCUAGACACCAGAGCUCCCUAGAGUUCCCCCAAAGCCUUCUGUGACAGCCUGUUUGGAAAUCACAGCCCCAAAGGCAUCAUUUCAUCACCUGGAAAGCCAAGGCAGCCCAUGCUCCAGCCCUGCCUUGAGAACAAAGGCAGGGGACUUCGUUCCUACAGUGCUGAAGGAGAUCUGGGCAGACGCUGUACUGCACUGUGAGAAGGACUGGCUGAGAUGGCUCUUGAAGGGAGGCAGGUGUUUCUACAUGGAACUGCUUCACCCUACACAGAACUCAGUACCCCUCAGAGGAUGCCUUUCUGAGGAGGAAUAUGGCGAGGGGCUCUGGCCUCUGUCCUGAGGGAGAUCUACUCUAUGCCUUGCCAGAAAUCAGUGUGUAUUCCCAGAGCCGGGACCAGGUGUGGCUCAGGAUAGAAGAGUGUCUUCUAGAAGGUAUGUCCUGUCCUGUCAGGCCCUGUCACAGACUCAACUGAGGCUGGGACUAAAGAUGGAGCCAAACCCAAGCCCAAGAGGGACCGAUUUAAAGGCCCAGAACCAGAGUUAUACCUGAGUGAACAGUGAUGGGUGUUGGUGCGGACCUCCUGUGAAUGGUGGUAACUCCUGCUGUCUCCAGGCCUCGGCGUCAGGAAUGUGAGGUAGCAUGUCGUGCCUAAGGACCUCAGGGAUGUUUAACUGGAGCUAAGGGAACAGAUGAACCAUGCACCCUGCUAGAGCGUGUUCUUUCUUGUGUCCCUUCGAGACGAGUCAUGUUGGGGUUCUUCCCCUUGGCUCCUCCCCUUAAGACUGAGACCCUGCUGUGGUCAGGGUCCUCUAGCUUCCUGUGUUAAAGCCUUGUUUACCAGGGUGGUGCCAUCGGGAGGCUGUGGAACCUUUAGAAGAUGGAACCUAGUGGAGGUUCCCUUAGGUCUUUGAGGCACGCCCUGGAAGAGAUUUAGGGACCCUGACUGGUUUUUCUCGUUGCUUCCUGAUUGUGAGGUGGACAGUUUGCUUUGCCUUUCACUCUAGGUCAUUACCAUGUGGUGCCUUCACCAGAAUUCCAAAGCAAUGGACCUGGGCAAUCUCAGGCUGUGAGAUAAAGGUUUUAAAAAUUAAUUAUCUCAGACGUUUCAAUAUAGUGAGUAUUGUGUGCCCAAGAGCUACAAAGUAGCGGCCCAUAGAGGCUGGGUGGGCCUUAAGGAAGGGAGGGUUCAUGAGGCCUAAAAGCUUGACCACAAUGAGCCCACUAGUCAUCUGUCUAAAAAAGUGUCUGUCAGUGGAGACGGAAAAGGGAAACAGUAUUACUGUGUGAGAACAGUGUCUCCAUUAAAGGGAAAAUGCUCUGGCGCUCUAAGGGGCUUUGGCUCCAGGAAGCAGCCCGUGAAAGCUAGCACGUACUGGAACUGAUGAAGCCUCAGGGCGGCAUGCCUAGCCUGAAGCAGAUUUGGAAGCUGGGAGGCAGAGCGUGUGUCCAGGUGGUGAAAUCAGGAGAGCACAGGGCCACCAGAAUGUACCCCAUGCCUCCCAAGAGCUCAGCCGGGAGGGAGCCCGUGAAAAGGCUCGCUGACGUCAGUGAGCCCCGACUCUGUGUCACGGGCUUUUUAAGCAGCAGAGCAUGAAGUUGGCUCUGGAGAGGAGUGAUGGACGUACCAUGGUCUUAGAGGCCUGACUUCGAGGCCGGGCUCCAAUGCUGAGAAAAGUUGUUCCAAUUGGCCAGGCGGUCUGGCACUGCCUGAGAAGCCAUUCAUGCUUCUCAGAGGUGUGACACUCAAAAACUGACUUUCUGUCAUUCUGAAACUCCUACAGGAGAUGGGUUUGAAAGGCAUGGGAAUCUCCUUCCAGGCAUCUCUGGAUCUGUCCAGACCUUCUCCAGAGAGGGUCUAUGCUACUUGCCUCCCAGGACCAAACGCUUCCCGGAUUGACUGGAUGUGACAGCUGCAGCCCUUGUUACAGAUAGUUAGAAGACUCAGUUCCAGGAAGUAGUCUGCUACCCCAAGGGUGACAUUAUCUACAGUUCUGGAAUGUUCUCUGUGCAGACUGUGCCUGAAGAAAUGACAUUUCCUCCCAGGCUUAAAGGAGCAAGGCGCUGGCGUCUUACUUGAGCAGUGGAUUGUUUCUAUGCUCUGGAAAGUGAGAGACUGACAUUGUUUUUUUGGCUCAGAGUCCCACGGCAGACCAGCCACAGCAAGAGAGCCCGUGUGUCCGCCCAGUCGUCAUUUUAUAAUAUUUAAAGUGAUUUUUUUUGUCAUUCAGAUCUUAGUCUUAUUAUAAAAGAAAUGACAGUUAAAUUAAAAGUGGUUUAACAAAAACCACUAGUGACCUCAGGAGCCAGAAAUGGCCAUAGGUCACAUUUUGGUGUGUGUCCUUCUGGUCUUUUAAAUCUUUUAUACAUUUGUAAAUGAAAAGCACGCCCCCAAGGCCCCACUCGGUACAUUGUGAAUGCCUUCUCUGGCCUUUAGUUGGUUGGGUUUUAUGUUCCAAAGAUGCCGCCAUGGAGGCUUGGGAACAAGGAAGGGAUUGAGGGCUGAACUGUGAACUGCGUCCCCUCAGGAUCCACAAGCUGAAGCCCUUACCCUAGCGCUUUGGAAUGUGAGCACAGGUCAGGCUUCCUGUGGCUGACAGAGAGUGAUAGCCAUCCUGAGGAUGUCACAAUGGCUCACGUGCCACGUGCCAAGCUCACAGUGGACCAUGGAUCCAGGUCUAGUCUGCCAUUUCCAGGGAUGUGGAGGGAAAUCCUGGAACCCCCAGAUUGAUGUGGGCAGACCCUGCCACCAAUGCCUCACACUGCAAUCCCACUGUGUGCCUCCUCCUUCUGACGCUGGGCCCUCUUCUGGGUUCUGUGGGCUCCAAGGAUACAGGGCUUGGCGCUGCUUCUUGGCAGCCAUUUGGAUGUACCCUUCAGGUAGGAAUAGGGUGCUCCCCUCCAGAGUUGUCUGCCCCUAGGUCAAAGAGUUGGGCAAAUCCUAUUAUGUUGGCAUUGUUCCUGUUGAUCUUGCAGUUUUCAGUCCUUGGUUGUGUGGGGUAGUGUCAUGGUUCCUGCCUCUAUGCUGAUGAUGCUAUAAACCAUAAAUCUACUAGAUGUGGAAAAAUGAACCAGUCCCUAAAUAACACCAUAAUGCUAUACACUGGAUGCACAGCUCCCUCCAUUAAAAGACAAUCUCAAAACUGCAAUUAAUCUGCACUUGCCAACAUUUAAUUAAAAUUGUAAUCUAAAAUACCAGACUAUCACCAGUGUUUUGAGCAUCCUAAGAAACAGACUCCCACCUGAUAGCAGUUACUCAAGCAAGUUCCAGUGUGCCCUGGUGUCCACAGGGAAUUGCUCCAAGACCACCCAUGGACCGAGUCUAUGGAGGUGCAAGUCCCUCACAUGAGGUCAUGUGUUAAGUAAGUGCACGGAACCUGAAUCCUUCCUCUCAAAGGCAUCAAAUUCUCCCUGACACAGUGACACUCCGGAGAUGCUCUGUAGGUAGUUGCUGUCCUGUAUUGUUUGAAGAGAGAAAGGCAGGAAAUAAAAUUGGCACUUGGUUUGCCCCAGUCCACAUCCUUCCUAACCCUUUUCCCUUGAAGUUGAUUAGCAUUUUAGAUCCUGUAGCCAUGGAGGGCUGACUUACUCGAUUUACUUACUGGACGCUGAAGACCAAGGGUUCCAACUUCCUCACUACUGCGGAGCCAGUCUUCCUAUUUGUGUGUGUGUGUGUG
rnacentral:sRNA from 1 species